rnacentral:rRNA from 1 species
UACGAAGGGGGCUAGUGUUGUUCGGAAUCACUGGGCGUAAAGGGAGCGUAGGCGGGUUUUUAAGUUAGGUGUUUAAUCCCGGGGCCCAACCCCGGACCGGCACUUAAAACUGGGAAUCUUGAAUAGUGGAGAGGUCAGUGGAAUUGGGGGUGUAGCGGUGGAAUGCGUAGAGAUCCCCAAGAACACCAGUUGCGAAGGCGGCUGACUGGACACAUAUUGACGCUGAGGCUCGAAAGCAUGGGGAGCAAACGGG